rnacentral:rRNA from 1 species
UAGCCGGGGCUUUCCUUCGGGACAGCAGAGACAGGUGGUGCAUGGUUGUCGUCAGCUCGUGUCGUGAGAUGUUGGGUUAAGUCCCGCAACGAGCGCAACCCUUAUCCUCAGUAGCCAGCAUUACGGAUGGGAACUCUGGGGAGACUGCCGGAGACAAUCCGGAGGAAGGUGGGGAUGACGUCAAAUCAUCAUGCCCCUUAUGACUUGGGCUACACACGUGCUACAAUGGUGGUAACAAAGUGAAGCGACCCCGUGAGGGUGAGCCAACCACAGAAAAGCCAUCUCAGUUCGGAUUGUAGUCUGCAACCCGACUACAUGAAGCUGGAAUCGCUAGUAAUCGCAGAUCAGAAUGCUGCGGUGAAUACGUUCCCGGGUCUUGUACACACCGCCCGUCACACCAUGGGAGUUGGAAAUGCCCGAAGCCAGUGACCCAACCGCAAGGAGGGAGCUGUCGAAGGUGGAGCCGAUGACUGGGGUGAAGUCGUAACAAGGUAGCCGUAUCGGAAGGUGCG